rnacentral:rRNA from 1 species
ACGGCGAGCGCUGGCGGUGUGCCUAAUACAUGCAAGUCGAGCGGACAGAUGGGAGCUUGCUCCCUGAUGUUAGCGGCGGACGGGUGAGUAACACGUGGGUAACCUGCCUGUAAGACUGGGAUAACUCCGGGAAACCGGGGCUAAUACCGGAUGCUUGUUUGAACCGCAUGGUUCAAACAUAAAAGGUGGCUUCGGCUACCACUUACAGAUGGACCCGCGGCGCAUUAGCUAGUUGGUGAGGUAAUGGCUCACCAAGGCAACGAUGCGUAGCCGACCUGAGAGGGUGAUCGGCCACACUGGGACUGAGACACGGCCCAGACUCCUACGGGAGGCAGCAGUAGGGAAUCUUCCGCAAUGGACGAAAGUCUGACGGAGCACCGCCGCGUGAGUGAUGAAGGUAUUCGGAUCGUAAAGCUCUGUUGUUAGGGAAGAACAAGUACCGUUCGAAUAGGGCGGUACCUUGACGGUACCAUAAC